rnacentral:rRNA from 1 species
GGAAAAUGGAGCCGAAGAAGGACGUGAUUACCUGCGAAAAGUCUGGGGGAGCUGGAAGUAAGCUGCGAUCCCGGAAUGUCCGAAUGGGGAAACCUAACAUGAUUUAUCUCAUGUUAUCUAUAAGUGAAUACAUAGCUUAUAAGAAGGGAACCUAGGGAACUGAAACAUCUUAGUACCUAGAGGAAAAGAAAAUAAUAAUGAUUCUGUUAGUAGUGGCGAGCGAACACGGAAC